rnacentral:lncRNA from 1 species
AACGAAUUUGAAUGAGGAGUCUCAGCGCUUUCGGCGCCAUUUUCGAGUGAUGCCUGAUCUCAUCAAUCUAGCGGGAGGGAAGGGAUAACCUGUCCGAGCCUAGCGCGACGCUAGGAUCACGCCGGAAAAUCCCCCAAAAAUCAUCAAAAAAAUUAACUUAGAGCAGAGGGCAGUCGGUGGGGCUUCGCCAGAUGCGGCGCAGUCGGUAAGAGCCUCAAGUAGCGAAGCGGGUCUCGAGAGGUGGCAGCGAUGGGACCGGAGGACCGUGAGGGGAGCAGGGACCGGACUCGGGGUCUGCCCUCACUUUCGCGGCAGAAGCUCCCCCAGGGGAUCCGGUUGCUAUUUUAACCAUUAGAAGAAUACCAGUUCUGGAAAACAACCAAAGUUUCUUUGAUUGAAUGCCCAUGUAAUGCAUUGGAAUAUGAUAGGCGAUUAAGGUUUAACAAUGUUAAAAUGAAGAUAUUACUAAAAUGGCCCUCUAAAUAGCCCAACAAUUAUUAUUUUCUUUGUCCUAUGGAUUUGGCUUUGAAAGAUGUGCUGCUCUUAAUAAGGUAAAAACCAACUUUUGUAGCUAUUUCAUGUGUUAAGCACAUUCAAAAGUUGUUAGUUUAAUAAAUGAGGUUCUUAAGUUGGUAUGGGAAAAUGACUUGCUUUUCUCGUUUCAUGACUACAAUAAAUUACAGCACUGUAUUAAGUUUUCUGUACGCUUUUAUUAAACUUAUGAUAUGGAAAUACUUUU